rnacentral:rRNA from 1 species
UUCCUACGGGAGGCAGCAGUAGGGAAUAUUGCACAAUGGGCGAAAGCCUGAUGCAGCAACGCCGCGUGCGCGAAGAAGGCCUUCGGGUUGUAAAGCGCUUUUCGGGGAGAUGAGGAAGGACAGUAUCCCCGGAAUAAGGCUCGGCUAACUACGUGCCAGCAGCCGCGGUAACACGUAGGAGCCAAGCGUUAUCCGAAUUUACUGGGCGUAAAGCGCGUGCAGGCGGCACGGCAAGUUGGAUGUGAAAGCUCCUGGCUCAACUGGGAGAGGACGUUCAAUACUGUCGAGCUAGAGGACGGCAGAGGGAGGUGGAAUUCCCGGUGUAGUGGUGAAAUGCGUAGAUAUCGGGAGGAACACCAGUGGCGAAGGCGGCCUUCUGGGCCGUACCUGACGCUCAGACGCGAAAGCUAGGGGAGCAAACGGGAUUAGAAACCCCGGUAGUCCUAGCCGUAAACGAUGUAGACUUGGUGUAGGUGGUGUAAAAGCCAUCUGUGCCGAAGCAAACGCGAUAAGUCUACCGCCUGGGGACUACGGCCGCAAGGUUAAAACUCAAAGGAAUUGACGGAA